UGGAAAACAAUGCCAGGUUGGAAGAAGU
rnacentral:sRNA from 1 species